rnacentral:tRNA from 1 species
CCGCGAUUGACCGAUUGGCUAGGUGCAGGAUUGCAAAUCCUGAUUAAGCGAGUUCGAAUCUCGUAUCGCGGUCCA